GACAGAGGUGCCAAGCGUUAGGCGGAAUCACUGGGCUUAAAGCGUGUGUAGGUGGAUGCCUAAGUACCUUGUGAAAUCCCACGGCUCAACCGUGGAACUGCUCGGUAUACUGGGUGUCUUGAGCCACUUAGGGCUACCGGAACAAAUGGUGGAGCGGGUGAAAUGCGUAGAUAUCAUUUGGAACGCCAAUGGUGAAAACAGGUAGCUGGGAGUGUGCUGACACUGAGACACGAAAGCCAGGGGAGCGAACGGG
rnacentral:rRNA from 1 species